rnacentral:rRNA from 1 species
UACGUAGGGGGCAAGCGUUGUCCGGAUUUAUUGGGCGUAAAGAGCGUGUAGGCGGCCAGACAGGUCAGCUGUGAAAACUCGAGGCUCAACCUCGAGACGUCGGUUGAAACCGUCUGGCUAGAGUCCGGAAGAGGAGAGUGGAAUUCCCGGUGUAGCGGUGAAAUUCGUAGAUAUUCGGAAGAACACCAGUGGCGAAGGCGGCUCACUGGACCGGUAUUGACGCUGAGGUGCGAAAGCGUGGGGAGCAAACAGG